rnacentral:lncRNA from 1 species
CUGCUUCCUAUGUUCCUAAGCUCUUUAGCUGUAGGCAGCAGUUGUCCUGUGUCUGGGCACCUGUUUUAAUUGCCUAUCAAGGGGGAACCUUUGUCCAAUCUUCCUGACAGAUCUGCUGCUGUGUGGGAGUUGUAGGCUAUCAAGUUAGCCACAUUUUUGCUGCUGUUCUUGGAUGGAAAACACCAAAGUCACAGGCAGCAGAAGACCAAAUGAGUGUCCUUUAAAACGAAGGGAAAGAGGGAAUGAAGCGAAUGCGUCUUUGAAACUGAACACACAAAAAUCAGAUGAAAAGUUUUCCAUUGCAUGUCACUGUCAAGGAGUGAGAAAAAUGAGGUAUUUCUGUAACAAAGAAGACCCACACAUGGGAUGGUGAUUCUGCUGCGAUCCCUGUAUCAUUUGUUCUUGCAGCACUGAGGGUUUCCUGUCAGGUGGCCUGAGCUGAUGCUGUUCUGUGGCUCUGAGGUGGAGUCCCAAGUUUGAUCCCUGGCAGCUCCAGGAAGAGCUGCUCAAUGCCUCUGCUUGAGACGCUACCCCGACAAAGAUAGAAGGCUGUCGGACCCUGCCCUAGGUUGCGGGAGCAACAUUGCUGUAUGCUAGAUCCUGCCUGAGAUCCUGGACCUGUCCUUGCCUGGUUUCCUGCCUCGUGUCCUGCCUUGGCCCUGUCGGACUGACUCCCAGCGGAACCUUCGGAUUCUGGACCGGUCCUGGACCACGUUUCACGGGUUACCCCCAGGCCCAGCACACGAGGGCAACCAAGAUGAUCAAGGGUGUGGAAACUAAGACUUAUGAGGAGGGCUGGAAGGAGCUGGAUAUGUUUAGCCUGGAAAAGAGGAGACUGUGGUGGCUAUUUUCAAAUAUCUCAAAGGCAAGCUUGUCUUCUCCUGCUCUGGAGGGUAGGACUCGAGGCAAUGGCUUCACCUUACAAGAAAGGAGAUUCUGACUAAACAUUUGGAAGAACUUUCUGACAGUAAGAGCUGUUUGACAAUGGAACGGUCUCCCUGGGGAGGUUGUGGACUCUCCCUCCUUGGAGGUUUUUAAGCAGAGACUGGAUGGCCAUCUGUCAUGGAUGCUUUAGCUGAGAUUCCUGCAUUGCAGGGGGUUGGAGUAGGUGACCCUUGGGAUCAUUUCCAACUGUAGGAUCCUGACUCUGUUAUUCUAUGAAUCUGCUGUUGGUGUGAUCUAUUGGACAGACCUGGGUUCUACUUUCUCUACUCUGUGCAUGAUUUUGUAAUUUUUUCAUUGUCCUAAAACUUCUCCCUCCUUGCCCAUGUUGCUUCAGGCACAUUUAUUCCAGUGCCUCACUUUUAGUAUUAUGCUUCCUUUGAUGCAAAAAGGUGAUGCCUCUUACACCAUUUGAACUG